GUGGCCUAGUGUUAGGAGCAUCUGCCUUAGAUGCGUGAGGUCGCAGGUUCAAACCCGGCUGAAUCA